CAAGGAUUUAAGUUAAUUAAACUUGUAACCUUCAAAGUUACCAAUAAAGAAAAAUAAAUCUUUGAACCUU
rnacentral:tRNA from 1 species